GUGCCAGCCGCCGCGGUAAUACGGAGGAUCCAAGCGUUAUCCGGAAUCAUUGGGUUUAAAGGGUCCGUAGGCGGGAUAAUAAGUCAGUGGUGAAAGUCUGUGGCUCAACCAUAGAAUUGCCAUUGAUACUGUUGUUCUUGAGUGUUUAUGAAGUGGUUAGAAUAUGUAGUGUAGCGGUGAAAUGCAUAGAUAUUACAUAGAAUACCGAUUGCGAAGGCAGAUCACUAAUAAAAUACUGACGCUGAUGGACGAAAGCGUAGGUAGCGAACAGGAUUAGAUACCCGGGUAGUCC
rnacentral:rRNA from 1 species